rnacentral:rRNA from 1 species
AGGCCUAACACAUGCAAGUCGAGCGCACCCUUCGGGGUGAGCGGCGGACGGGUGAGUAACGCGUGGGAAUGUGCCCAAAGGUACGGAAUAGCCUCUGGAAACGGAGAGUAAUACCGUAUGUGCCCUACGGGGGAAAGAUUNAUCGCCUUUGGAUCGGCCCGCGUUGGAUUAGGUAGUUGGUGGGGUAAAAGCCUACCAAGCCGACGAUCCAUAGCUGGUUUGAGAGGAUGAUCAGCCACACUGGGACUGAGACACGGCCCANACUCCUACGGGAGGCAGCAGUGGGGAAUCCUACACAAUGGGGGAAACCCUGAUCUAGCCAUGCCGCGUGAGUGACGAAGGCCCUAGGGUCGUAAAGCUCUUUCGCUGGGGAAGAUAAUGACGGUACCCANUAAAGAAACCCCGGNUAACUCCGUGCCAGCAGCCGCGGUAAU